rnacentral:miRNA from 1 species
CCUAGAAUGUUGUUAGGUUGGUGCAAAAGUAAUUGCGAGUUUUAGCAUUACUUUCAAUGGCAAAACUGGCAAUUAACUUUUGCACCAAUGUAAUACUU